rnacentral:rRNA from 1 species
GUGGGGAAUAUUGCACAAUGGGCGCAAGCCUGAUGCAGUAACGCCGCGUGAGGGACGACGGCCUUCGGGUUGUAAACCUCUUUUAGCAGGGAAGAAGCGAAAGUGACGGUACCUGCAGAAAAAGCACCGGCUAACUACGUGCCAGCAGCCGCGGUAAUACGUAGGGUGCAAGCGUUGUCCGGAAUUAUUGGGCGUAAAGAGCUCGUAGGCGGUUUGUCGCGUCUGCUGUGAAAACCCGAGGCUCAACCUCGGGCCUGCAGUGGGUACGGGCAGACUAGAGUGCGGUAGGGGAGAUUGGAAUUCCUGGUGUAGCGGUGGAAUGCGCAGAUAUCAGGAGGAACACCGAUGGCGAAGGCAGAUCUCUGGGCCGUAACUGACGCUGAGGAGCGAAAGCGUGGGGAGCGAACAGGAUUAGAUACCCGUGUAGUCC